rnacentral:rRNA from 1 species
GGGCCUUGGCGGCGGCUUACACAUGCAAGUCGAGCGGAACGAUACCAGCUUGCUGGUAGGCGUCGAGCGGCGGACGGGUGAGUAAUACUUAGGAAUCUACCUAGUAGUGGGGGAUAGCUCGGGGAAACUCGAAUUAGUACCGCAUACGACCUACGGGAGAAAGGGGGCAGUUUACUGCUCUCGCUAUUAGAUGAGCCUAAGUCGGAUUAGCUAGAUGGUGGGGUAAAGGCCUACCAUGGCGACGAUCUGUAGCUGGUCUGAGAGGAUGAUCAGCCACACUGGGACUGAGACACGGCCCAGACUCCUACGGGAGGCAGCAGUGGGGAAUAUUGGACAAUGGGGGAAACCCUGAUCCAGCCAUGCCGCGUGUGUGAAGAAGGCCUUUUGGUUGUAAAGCACUUUAAGCAGUGAAGAAGACUCCUCGGCUAAUACCCGUGGACGAUGACAUUAGCUGCAGAAUAAGCACCGGCUAACUCUGUGCCAGCAGCCGCGGUAAUACAGAGGGUGCAAGCGUUAAUCGGAAUUACUGGGCGUAAAGCGAGCGUAGGUGGCUUGAUAAGUCAGAUGUGAAAUCCCCGGGCUUAACCUGGGAACUGCAUCUGAAACUGUUAGGCUAGAGUAGGUGAGAGGAAGGUAGAAUUCCAGGUGUAGCGGUGAAAUGCGUAGAGAUCUGGAGGAAUACCGAUGGCGAAGGCAGCCUUCUGGCAUCAUACUGACACUGAGGCUCGAAAGCGUGGGUAGCAAACAGGAUUAGAUACCCUGGUAGUCCACGCCGUAAACGAUGUCUACUAGUCGUUGGGUCCCUUGAGGACUUAGUGACGCAGCUAACGCAAUAAGUAGACCGCCUGGGGAGUACGGCCGCAAGGUUAAAACUCAAUGAAUUGACGGGGCCCGCACAAGCGGUGGAGCAUGUGGUUUAUUUCGAUGCAACGCGAGACCUUACCUGUCUUGACAUAUCUAGAAUCCUGCAGAGAUGCGGGAGUGCCUUCGGGAAUUAGAUGCAGUGCUGCAUGCUGUCGUCA